rnacentral:rRNA from 1 species
UACGUAGGCAGCGAGCGUUGUUCGGAGUUACUGGGCGUAAAGGGUGUGUAGGCGGUUCUUUUAAGUUUGGUGUGAAAUCUCCCGGCUCAACCGGGAGGGUGCGCCGAAUACUGAGGGACUUGGAGUGCGGGAGAGGAAAGUGGAAUUCCUGGUGUAGCGGUGAAAUGCGUAGAUAUCUGGAGGAACACCGGUGGCGAAGGCGGCAUCCUGGACCAACACUGACACUGAGGAGCGAAAGCCAGGGGAGCAAACGGG